GCUAGUACUUAACCCCUGAUCCAUAGUCGGCUGUUGGGAUCCUAAUACAGCUAAGGUAUUCAUCCUAAGGACUGAGGUAUCUAUCCAGACUGCCCUCCAGUGGUGCCGUGCUGACCAGGUGUCUUUACCCCGAACAGUCUCGAAAGAGAUGGGAUAAACCGGCGGGCAUCCUUUCAUGUUGUCCUCAGAGUUUGUUACUGCUAAUUCCUCGAUAGAUUCACUUGACAAUGAAGAACAUCAGAGUGAUUUACUGACCUAACAGCUGUGUUGGCCACACAUUUUGCUGACGUUUUGUGUUCGUUACAGCAAAGCAUAUUCUCUUACUGAUUCAUAAAGCAGCCUUUCCCCAAAGGACUCAUCAAGGUUACACAAGGCAGGAUAAAAUGCUCUUAUUUUCCUUUUAAUUAUCAAUAUGGGCAACUUGUUGCUUCUCAUCUGAUUUACAUAAUUCUUCGGUAGUUUCUGAGACCAGAUUGGUGGUAAGGCUUCUUAAAGUGAUACUAACACUAAAACACUACUCUUUAAAUUAUGAAUGUACAUUAAAAGUUCCCUAUAGGUCA